rnacentral:lncRNA from 1 species
CCUAGAGCUCUUCUCUCGUCGGCCAUCGCCAUCCUGAGAGUUCUUUCUUUCUCCUCUGCCACCCUCAUCCCUUAAGUUCUUUCUUUCUCCGUAAUCAUCCCCAUCCCUAGAGCUCCUUUUCUCUCCACGGCCAUUGCCAUCCCUUAAGUUCUUCCUUUCUCCAUAAUCAUCCCCAUCCCUAGAGCUUCUUUUCUCUCCACGGACAUCGCCAUCCAGAGAGUUCUUUCUUUCUCUACUGCCAACAUCAUCCCUUAAGUUCUUUCUUUCUCCAUAAUCAUCCCCAUCCCUCAGUGACUUCCUUUCUGCAUGUUCAUCCUCAAUCCUUCUGAUCUUUCUUUCUCCGUGAUCAUCUUCAUCCCUCAAGUGCUUUCUUCCUGUAGGAUAAUCUUCAUCCUUUCCAUGCCUUCUCUCUCCACGAACAUCUUCAUCUCUUAAGC